rnacentral:lncRNA from 1 species
AAGGGACAAGAAGGGCUCAGAAUAUAAGGGGAUGAAGUUUUAAGGUUCUUUGGAGAGAGAGGGGGGACUCUUCUAAGUAUUUUGAGAAGGGAGGUUUAAGGCCCCUAGGUUCAGGGAAGAUGAAGGACUCCCAAGAGGCUUAUGGAAAGACAAUAAUAGACCUAGAGGCUUCUUGGAAGAGUGAGUGGGUCUCAGAGGGUCAUGGGAGGGCAGAUGUAGAUCAAGACACUCUUGGGAGGGGCUACAGAUGCCCUUACAUGCCUGUAAAGGUUCAUUUCCAGACCCCUAGGCUCUCUGUGGCUUCAGAGUGGAGAAGGGGUUACUUCAUAGUUGGGAGGGGAAAAUGAGUCUCAGGGAUAAUUGGAAUGGCCUCAGCUUUGAGACCUGUGGCCACUGAGGGUAACCAGAUGUGUCAUAGAAAAAGGGACCCUGGUCAGGCCUAGCCAGGCGGUGUGAGGGCAACGUGGGAGUGUGUAUUGUGAGAGAAGGAGAAGCUAGGCUGUGGGAUCUACUCAUCAGAGACUCAGGAAAGAUCAGACGUGAAGCCCUUCUCACAAGCACCGUUCUCCAUGUCACUGACGCCCCCAGCCACUGACCUACCAGGGUACGAGCCGCCCCCAGCCCUCUCACCCCUACCCCCACCCGCCCCAUCUCCCCCAGCCUGGCAGGCUCGGGCCCUGGGCACUGCGCGCCUGCAGCUGGUAG